UAAACCCUACAUUUUUUAAAAAGUUGCUAAGCAUAAAUCUUACCAUAGAAAUAAUCCAGUUGAACCAAAGCCUAUGUGCUCUUCAUUUUUCAGCAAUGUACUAAUAAUGCCCCGUGAACUAUGAAUACUACCACUCACCAGCAGGGGGAGUGAGUUGGCCUUGAAAGUCCCAGCAGAGGCUAGAAGAAAGUGGUGGAUACCCUGGGACUGGACUUCCACACAGCUGUAACCUGCCAUAUGGGUGCUGGAAACUAAACCAGGAUGCCCUCGAAGAGCAGCUAGUUCUCGUAAACUCUCAGCCGUUUCUCCCUGAAGGUCCAUUCUUAAUACACACUAUUAUAGCAAGUCCUUUUCAUCUUUGCACCAUGUUCUGCCUGCACACUGUCGCGAUCCCUGCCAUCAUGAAAAUGGACUACACCUCUGAAACUGUAAGCUGCCACCUCAAUUAAAUGUUUUCCUUUAUAAGAGUCACUGUGGUCAUGGUGUCUUCUCUUCCCAGCAAUAGAAACCCUAACGAAGACUGUGCCCUUUCCUAAAUUGUCAGCUCUAUCAACUUCAGAGCUACAUCAUCAGUAGGUGAUUUGAUUUACUUAUAAUCUGCCCUCCCAAAAGUAGUUUAUAGAAUACUAUCCAUUAAAAUUUCCUUAAGUUACAAUCUAAUUAUGUUCUAACUAGAAAGCAACUGCACUUCAAUCCCAGUCUAAAGUUGAUUUUGAGUAUUUUUUUUUUAAAAAAAGUGAUAUUAUUGGAGCAAAGAAUAGUUAUGUAACUUUUGUGGCUUAGUACUAUAUUGUUCUCCAGAUGGAGAAGACCAUUAAUAUUGUGCAUUCAUCCUGUUUCAAUUUUAUCAGUUUGGACUUUGUAACUGUUGAUAUUGGUUAUCAACUUGACAGGAUUCGCGAUCACAGACAAGCCUCUGUACAUGCUUGUGAGGGAUUGUCUAGAUUAGAUUGACUGAGGUGGGCAAUCCACCUACAAGAGGCUAGCACUAUUUUCUGGACUCGGGUCCUGGGACCUACAUGAAAAGAAAGUGAGCUGAAUACCAGCAUCCGUCACUUCCUGCUUAGCAACUGCAGACACGAUGUGACUGAGAGCUGCCUGUGAGCCGCCUCAGGUUCCUGCGGCCAUGACUGCCCUGUGAUGCUUGACUAUAGUUUUGAGCUGUGAGUCAAAGCCCUUUCUCUCCCGGAAGUUGUUUUCGACGGGGUAUUUUUGUCACAGCGAUAGGAAAAGUAACUAAGACUGUAUUUUGUUAGCUUAACAAAUACAAAAGUUUAUUAUUUUUAAAAUAUAUUUAUUUGAAUUUGUCUCAUCUCAGGUUGCAAUUUUCUGUGUAUUUUGAAUUAAUUUAAAAAAUCAUAAUAAAAUUUGGCUCCUAGAGAGGUUACAAGGAAGAAAAUUAAUCAUGAUGAAAUUUUCUUUAUAUUUUAGAUAUAUUGUUUUUAGUUUUGGAGAACUAGAAUAAUUUCACUCUUUUAAAAUGAAGAGAACAUUCAUUUUGAGCAGAAAAAUAAAAAUGCAAAAUAUAAUUUCAUGUCAUAAUUCUCAGAUUCACUCCCCCUUCAUCUUAACCAUGAUUUUCACUCUAUAAUGCAAUUUAGAAUUGGGCCCAAAUUAUACUUAUUUUCCACACUGCUAGAAUGAUCUUUUAAGAAUACAAGCUUGCCGGGCGGUGGUGGCUCAUGCCUUUAAUCCCAGCACUCAGGAGGCAGAGCUAGGCGGAUCUCUGUGAGUUCUAGGCCAGCCUGGACUACAGAGUGAGUUCCAGGAAAGGCACAAAGCUACACAGAGAAACCCUGUCUCGAAAAACAAAAACAAAACAAAACAAAAAAAGAAUACAAGCUUAAACUGCGUAUGUAAGUCUCCAAUUUUUAACACUACUUUUCUGAGCUUUCAUAUUCUGACAUUUCUCCACUACUCCAGUGGGGGGCGCUACUCCUAAUGUUGGCAUUCUCUUAUUUCAGUAAAUCUGUGGAUCUCUAGUGACUUAUUUCUUCUGCCUAAAAGGUUUCUUUGCACAAAUUUUACCCUAAUAGGUCAUCAUCCUUUAGGCAAAUCUUAAAAUAUUUUGUAGUUUGAUGUCGGUGGGCAGAGAAAAACCUGUAACGCGAGUUGGCUAUCAGAUACCAAGACACAGGUAGAGAGGAUCAGCUCUGGUGUGCAGCAGAGACGGAUGACAAAGGUUUGUAGUAAACUGUCCCGUUUUGUGAAGAGUUAGAAAAGGGAUGCUCAAAGACUCAAACAAACAAACAAGAUAAGAAAAGGAAAUGCUAAUUAGAAUGCUAAUUAUCCUGAUUGGGUCAGUUUGUGUUUGCAUGUGUUAAAAUAUGUAUUGAUUAAUGUAAAUAUGUAAAAGUAUUGAUUAAUACAUAAAAUCAAUACUUGAUAAUACAAAAUGGCAACAAUCCAGAGCACACUUUAAGAAAAAUGAUAGAAAAACAUGACUAAUGUCUCAUAUAAAUAGGGGGUCCUGAAACUUGGUUUCAUAAUAGAGCCACUUGCAGGUGUAAAAACCUGCCUCAUCUCUCCUUGUUUUUAGUGUUGUUGGUUUAGCAGUACUAUGCUCUAAGUAGGCUACAGCAAUGCAUUUUUCCUUAAGAACUGUGUUUAAGCUGGGCGGUGGUGGCGUACGCCUUUAAUCCUAGCACUCGGGAGGCACAGGCAGGCAGAUCUCUGUGAGUUCGAGGCCAGCCUGGUCUACAGAGUGAGUUCCAGGAAAGGAGCAAAGCUACACAGAGAAACCCUGUCUCAAAAAGCCAGAAAAAAAAAAAAAAAAAAAAAAAAAAAAAAAAAAAAAAGAAAGGAAACUCCAUGUACCUGGUAGUUUCUUGGAUUAGCCUGGGAGCAAAAUCAUAGGAUCAGCAUCAUUUUUCUAUAUAAUUAUGAAAUACCUUUGUUAUUUUACUUUUCAAUUUCUUUGUAAGCAAGUGGCUAUCUAUUCACUUUAGCAGACCAAAGUAAAAUAAGCUUUCAUCUUGAGAUUCUUUGAGACUAACAAAAAUUUUAAACUAUUUUUUAUGAUGGUGAAUUUAUUUAUUUGAAAAAAAUUUAUUGAACACCUAACUAAAUUUUUUGAUGAACUGCUUGAAAAGCUGAGGAUGCAGUGAUGAUCACUGUGGAGUUUGUAGUCUAGUGAGGGAAUAAAUAAAUAAGUAUUUAGUAUCUGAGUGUGGUAAGUGCAAUCAAAGCAUGGAAGAUGGCGAAUAACAGCAAAGAGUCAGGACAAGCCCUGCCUGUGGAGGGGUGUCAGGGGAUGAGGGUAAGUCAUGUGACAUCCAGGGAGCAGCUUUCUAUGCAGAAAGAAAGCAGGACAGAGGCUGAGGUCAGUAGGGGCUCUACAUGCUGAAGGAAUCAGCAAGAAGGCAGUUUUGUUUCUAGAAGAAUGAACAAAUUCCAACUUUGUUCUCGUGGAACUUACAUAAUACCAGGUGGAAAAAGACCCACAAAACGAAUAAACCAUCACAUCAAGACACGCCCCUCGGGGUUGAAUACUGUGAAAGGGGUGGGUCUGGAGAAGGAGAGAGAGAGAGAGAGAGAGAAUGUGUGCUAUUUCAGAUAAGGUGGUAAAAGAAGUACAAGAAACGAUUUUAAAUGGAACGUUGAAUAAAGUGAAGAAUGAAACCAUGCAGGUACUGGUGAAGAGUGUCACAGCCAGACGGCGAGUACAGAGGCCUAGAAGGAGGAAGCUGGUGGCAGGUUAGGUUAGAUGCCUCACUGGGGACAGUAGUGCAUGGGGCUUUUGUGUGUUCAGAUUUAUCCUCAGUGAGAUGGUGUGCGUCCAUCUUUAUAAGUCUGCAUUUCUAGAUUAAUUCAAGGACCACUCUGAACCCAUAGAUUUAAAAAAAAAAAAAAAAAAAAACAUUGCGGAGAAGCACGUCAGAUCCAAACUCAAGCCCUCUGCGGCAUGGUAGUUGGGUUGACCACCUCAGGAGAGAAGCGCCUUGAUUGCAUGAUAUAAUCCCUAAAAGCCAUUUUGAUAGCUUUUGUUUCCUGAAUCCACAAAGAGAUAAGAAGUGAAACAGGCCAGAAAACAGAAGAAGGAAAGAAGACUAGAGGGGGAAAGGAAAUGGUAUAAUUAACUGCAUAAAUACAGAAGCCAGAACCGGCAGAAAUGAUAAAAGCUGCGGGCGUGAGUGACAGAAGGGACCCCUUAAAGAGUGAGCGGAAGGCAGUCCCACAGCUCGCUUACUCUGGAGCUCCUGAAAAUGGAUGGCUGCUUGAAGAGAAACUACUUCCAGGUGAGAGGGCACAAAAUGUCACCUGUACUUCAGUUCCCACCUCCAGGUUCCUGCCCUGCUCCCCUCGUCGAUGGACCGUGAUGGGGGACUGUAAACUGAAAUAAAUCCUUCUCUCCCCAAGCUGCUUUUAGUCACGUUUUAUCACAGCAAUAAAUACCCUAACUAAGACAAAGUGUGUAUAUGGUUAAAGUAUAUGAUAUACUUGGAUGAGUGUGUGAAAUAUCUUUAUGAAACCCAUAACUAUAUACAAUGAACACACACACACACAGGGCCCAACAGGGUGUCGUGUUUUUCUCCGCACAUCUAAGCUGGAACCAGGCUGGAGAGGCAUUGACAUUUGGCCUUAGCGGAUCUCAGCCCAUAGCACGUCAAAGAAAGAGACUGUGCUUCACCAGGAAGGAAAAACAGCGAGGGCUGAACACAAUUUGAAAUCAGUGUGAUAACAGCGACAAUAACUUUAAUACUUAAAAUACAUCAUGUUCUGAACUAAAUGCUUUACAUACAUUGGCUCCCUCAAUCCUUAAAACUAUAAGAUAAUUGCUAUUGUUUUUCUCUACUAUGCAGAAAAGGACGUUAAGCCUCAGAAAGACUAAAUACCUGGUUGGAGAAUCAUCAAGCUAAAAGAAAUAGAACUGAAAAUUUAUUUGCAAUUACCUUACUGUGCUCACUGGUCUCUUAGAUAGUUUGUAUCAUUUUGUUAUCCAGGAGAGACAGAAAUUUCCAAAUUUGUGUGUUCCUCAUCACCCCAUCCUCACCACGGGUUGGGGCAAGUAUGAGAAACAUGAUCAUUGAGCGAGGCUGGUAAAGACCAUUGAGCCUAAAAUAUAUCUCCUUGCUUGCGAGAAUAUGAACAGAUCGUAGGUAACAAAUUCAACGAGUGGUGUGGUUUGAGUGAGGAUGGCCCCCAGAGGCUCACACAUUUGAAUUCUCGGUGUAACUGUCUGAGAAAGAUUAGGAGGUGAGGCCUUGUUGGAGGAUGUGUGUACUGGGAGUAGGCUUUGAGGAUUUAAAAGCCCGUAUCAUUCCCAGCUAGUUCCCAGCUCUUUGCAUCAUGCCUGUGGAUCAGAUGUAAGCUCGCAGCUACUGCUCCAACACCACGCCUGCCUGCCUGCUACCAAGCUUCUCUCCAUGAUGGUCACAAAGUAACCCUCGGAAACUGUAUGAAAACCCCAACUAAAUGCUUCCUUCUGUAAGCUGCCUUGGUCAUCGUGUCUCUCCCUGGAAACGGUAACUAAGACAACUGGUUUCAUAAUUGGGGCUGCUGAGGUGGCUCAGUGGUCCUCGGCAGAGGACCUGGAUUUGGUUCCCGUCACUAUCACGGUAGCUCACAAUCUUCUGUAACUCCAACUUCAGGGAUUCUGAUGCCUUCCUUCUCCUGGCCUCUUUGGGUACCAGUUGUACAUGUGGUACACUACAUGUGAGGAAAACACUCACCCAAAUCUUAAAUUUAAAAUACACGCAGAUGCGCGCGCACACACACACACACACACACACACACACUGUCACAAAAAACCAAAAAAAAAAAAAAAAAAAUCUGAACCCAACCAGAUACAGGUAAGUGCCCAGGAUUGUUUUCCAAGAAGGACUGAUUACGUUCCGAGGAAUUUACUUACCCUGUCUGAAUACCAGUUAUAUUACUACCUCCUGUGGGCUAUACUGGAUUAAAGUGGGGACAUGGGUGGGGUGCACAGGAGGAACUGGAAGGGAGAGAGGGAAGAAUGGAAAUGAUGUAAAUACCGUACUAAUGUAUGGAAUUAUAAAAAAUAACAAUAGAUAUAAAAAUGUGACAUCAACAAUUUGAAAGUGCCAGACCUAUUGUAAAAUGCUCAGGAAUAUAAAUGAAAAAAAAAACAGAUUAAAUGGUAUAGCAUUGAUUCCUCACUUACAACUUCAGAUUUCCCAACUUUUCUCUGCUUAAUUCUUUGUACGCUGGUCCAGAAUAUUGCUUUUGGUUCUGGACCUGAGGCAGUCCCUAAGAAUUUCUUUUCUCUCUGGCAAACUCAAGUACUUACUUCAGGCAAGACAGGAGAAAUUCUGACCUUGAGAACAGAGCCUCUGAGUUCUCAACAGGACUUGUUUUCAAAAUCUAGUUAUAGAAAAUUUGAGUAUUGUUUUGCCUUUAAAAGCACAGGGCUCUUCCAUUAUUUUGUGAAAAUUCUAAUAAAAAUUCAAUAAGACAAAUUAGUAAUUUUCAAAAAUGAAUAAUAAUAAUAAACCCUCCACAAUACAAUAACCUCUAAAUAAAAGUAAUGUUAACAGUCAGGUAUAUACAUAUAGACAUAACUUGAACAAGGGAGUCUGGUCCUUUCUAAGGAUUUUUUUUUUUUCCUGAAUCGGAACCUCAGCUUUUAAAGAAAGUUGAUCAUCUCAACUGAUCAGCUGACUUAUAUUAAGGACAGAUGUGUAAGGACAAUUUACUAGUUGCCUAGAAAGUGAUGAAUGCAAAAGUGGGAGAGAUGUCAUCUGGCAACUCAUUAAAGCAUUCCCAAAUAAGUGAUAACAGUAGUUAAGUAUAUGAGUUAAUUUAAUAAUAACAAGUAUAAUGGAUCUGUGGGGAAGGACAAUAUGAAGAGAUGAAGUGUCUCAUGAUAUAACAAAACACAUGUAUUCAUUUGUUGGAUGUUUAUUGAGCACCAUACAUGACAGCUACCCAGAGAGCAAUGCACCAUGCACGUGGUCAUGUAGACUAUAAUGUAAUUGCUUAGUACACAAUGUAUACCACUGUUUGUAAUGAUCUUGCAAUAAAGAUAUGAUAGUGAGCCGGGUGGUGGUGCACGCCUUUAAUCCCAGCACUUGGG